GUUUAUCGUUCGUCGUCUAUCCGGCGCGCUAUCGCAUUUAGGGGGCGGGGACUCGACGAUGGAAGCGGUACCGCCGGCGGCGACGGCGGACGGCGGAAGAGGCCGACCGUGGCGCGGCAGAGGCCUCGGGCUCCGUAAGGGAGAAAGGAUGCGGUGAGCGAGAGAGGAGCCCAACCGCGGCGAUGACGCGGCGGCGCGGGGGCCAGCGCCGGCGCCGCUGCGGCUGCCCCCUGCGGCACCCCCUCAAGGCGGCCUCCUAGUCCCACCGCCUUCACUUCCCGCCUCUCCUGGUUCCGCGGCGAACCCAGCCCUUCCUCGAAUGGCACGCGCCCACCCACGCGUGGACGGCGCGGGUCUCCUGGCACUGUAAGCAGCUCCAAUUACUACCUAGAACGAACAGGUUAUACGUUACACACAAUUGAGGACUUUGUCUUCCGAUACUGGUCUAUCUGAGAUAGUUAUGUCCCCGGAGUCACAAUCACCUCCCUCAACAUCGUUCGUCGGUUCCACCAUUCGUCUUUCACCUCGAUUUCCAAAGUUUCUAGUAACACUAACCCCUCUCACUAGGGUGUAGAAAAGGAUAUGUCUUCUUUGCUCGUAGUUCUCUUAAAGACUCCUGACACCGUGUAGAGGCAGGAGCCUGUUUGUGAAAACCACGUCACCGUUCUCAUUCUUUACGAGACCGUAUACGUUGAGUAUUUAAAAAAGUUCUGUCACCUAAAUAAACCCAUAGUUCGGGAUAAUAAUGACGGAGUCUAACACUUCCUCGCCCCCUCGUCAAGAUACAGUGAUGAAACGAAAGUUUAUCACGACUUCCUCCGACGGAUCAGUUGUCGUAAGGAAGCUUCCUACCUUCCCAGCUAACCAGUGUCCUAAAGAAGACGUUUGGUCGUAAAGACUGCCACAGACCUGUUGACUUACCGCUUUGUAUACGAAGUCGAGAUAGACUAUAAAUGUGUAAACCAGGGUGUAAAUCCCGACUUUUAAGUUUGUGAAGUUCCGUAAACCGACUUAAAACCUACUAACUCGGACUUGAACGGAAACGACUAGAUUUACUACUGUACCGCACACGUUCACGUAUAGAGGUCAUACAUCAUUUCAUAUAAGAACUCUUGACGUUUCUUCUAUACCUAAAAAAACUAUGCACCCAACUCUUUCCCUAGUAUCUAUCUGAUUUAUUACAUCGACUCUUUUUGAGACAAGUCUACAGUAUAAGACUACGAUAGUUCGAUGAAUAACCCAGGUUGUUCUUUAAGCUCAAGGGCCACUUCACCCCAAACCUAGACGUUUCACUCGUACUUUCUAUAUAGUGUCUUCAGCGUAAACCGCCGUCAGGACAUUAUUAAUCUCUAAUAGGCUUCCUUUAGUUUCGAAAGAUAUACGCUGUUUUACUACUGCCCUUUUGUCAACGCCGUUACCUAGAUAACCAAGGAGCCCAUCCACUUGAGUAACCUCCUUCGGUUUCUCUUCUUGCUGAACUAAUGGAACUUCGAGCCGACCUACUUAGUUUAGAAUUGUUUCUAUCGAUAACCACCAUAAACCUAAACGCCGCUAUACCUAGUCAAGGAGUACGACCAAAACCGGAACCUAAACUUGCCGAACAUGUCAAACGUUGGCCUUAUCUGUUGUAGUCUCUGCGGUAAGGUAAAGGGUCCCAAGGACCAAGACGCCUCAAAAUCGUGAACUUCUCAUAGGCACAUAUUAGAGAUUUUCGUAAGAACGGACCCUGAACUUCUUUUGGAAUGCAACUAAACAGUAACAUUUCUCAAAUGGACUGACUAAAGAUUAGACGUCCUCGCGUGACAUAGUAGUUUAAGGGAACGUUUAAGCAGCUUACGACCCUAAAAUCAGCUACUUAAGAAACACAUGCAGGGAUAAGUCAUUUAUUUGUUAAAACGGAACCCCUGACUAUGGUCUGAGUAAUACUAUCGGUGAAAAUAGGACAACAGACCAAGACGGUAUUGUGAGUUUUCUAAGUGGAACUUCCUUUG
rnacentral:rRNA from 1 species